rnacentral:rRNA from 1 species
GACGAACGCUGGCGGCGUGCCUAAUACAUGCAAGUAGAACGCUGAAGAGAGGAGCUUGCUCUUCUUGGAUGAGUUGCGAACGGGUGAGUAACGCGUAGGUAACCUGCCUUGUAGCGGGGGAUAACUAUUGGAAACGAUAGCUAAUACCGCAUAACAAUGGAUGACACAUGUCAUUUAUUUGAAAGGGGCAAUUGUUCCACUACAAGAUGGACCUGCGUUGUAUUAGCUAGUAGGUGAGGUAAUGGCUCACCUAGGCGACGAUACAUAGCCGACCUGGGAGGGUGGUCGGCCACACUGGGACUGAGACACGGCCCACAGUCCUAAGGGAGGCAGCAGGAGGGAAUCUUGAGAAAUGGGGGCAACCCUGAACGAGCAACGCGGCGUGAGGGAAGAAGGAUGUCGGAUCGUAAAGCUCAGUUGUAAGUCAAGAGCGAGUGUGAGAGUGGAAAGUACACACUGUGACGGUAGCUUAACAGGAAGGGACGGCUAACUACGUG